UUUUGGGAAUCCCUGCUCUUGGGUGGGUCUAAGGAAUAGAUAAGAUGAGGUCCCGCUCACAGGUAUGGCCCCCACUCCACCUCUACUGCAGGACUAUGUAAAGAGGUUGCCUGAUAGAAGCAGCAAUGAAAGGAUUGUUUCUUCUAAAGUCCAGCAUGCAAUGAUUUAGUCAAUUCAAAAAGAAUGGGCCCAGGAAGAUACAGAGGUUCCUUAGUCUACAAGAAGGAAGCACUUUUCUUCAAAAUACCCAUAAUUUAACCAAAAUCUAACAACUGCCAUGAAAAGUCCAAUAAAUGGAAACAACAUUUUCCAAGUCCCGGAAGCUCAAACUCGUUCAUCAUAUCGUUCCACUUAUAGUAUGAUCCUGAGAAAAGCAACUAUAGCAUUUCUGCCAUUUCAACACCCCACCAGCCAAAGGUACUAUGUGAAGUUACGUGUACCUACAUGACGCUAUGUCCAGAUCAGCAAGCAGAAACUGAGUUCCAAAGCUGCAUUACUAUGCUAUGAAGAAAGAAAGUGCCUUGGCCACUGCCCUUCCCUUUCUAAUGUGUGAAUGCUUAGAAAAUACAAGGGGAUUUCUAAGGCUUUUAGCCUUGGCUGUGUCAA